UGGUCAAGUUAUUAAGGGUGCAGGGCGGAUGCCUUGGCACUAGGAGCCGAUGAAGGACGUGAUAAGCUGCGAUAAGCUUCGGGGAGUUGCACGUAAACUUUGAUCCGAAGAUUUCCGAAUGAGGAAACUCACUUAGAGUAAUGUCUAAGUAUCAUUAAGUGAAUACAUAGCUUAAUGAGGGGAACUCAGGGAACUGAAACAUCUAAGUACCUGAAGGAAGAGAAAGAAAUUCGAUUCCGUAAGUAGCGGCGAGCGAACGCGGAUUAGCCCAAACUAAUAAAGUUUUCUUUAUUGGGGUUGCGGACAUAUCAUAACGAAGAGGUAUCGUAAUUGAAGAGGUUUGGAAAGACCCACCACAGAAGGUAAUAGUCCUGUAUGUUAAACGAGAAGACUUUUAGAUAUGAUCCAGAGUACCACGGGACACGUGAAACCCUGUGGGAAGCAGGAGGGACCACCCUCCAAGGCUAAAUACUACCUAGUGACCGAUAGCGUAUAGUACCGUGAGGGAAAGGUGAAAAGAACCCCGGGAGGGGAGUGAAAUAGAACCUGAAACCCUGCACUUACAAGCUGUGGAAGCACAUUUCUUGUGUGACCGCGUACUUUUUGUAGAACGGGCCAACGAGUUACGUUAAGUAGCAAGGUUAAGCACUUAAGGUGCGGAGCCGUAGCGAAAGCGAGUUUUAACUGAGCGUUCAGUUACUUGACGUAGACCCGAAACCGGGCGACCUACCCAUGAGCAGGAUGAAGCGAAAGUAAAAUUUCGUGGAGGUCCGAACCCACGAGCGUUGAAAAGCUCGGGGAUGACUUGUGGGUAGCGGUGAAAUUCCAAUCGAGCCCGGAGAUAGCUGGUUCUCCCCGAAAUAGCUUUAGGGCUAGCCUCAAGGUGAGAGAUACGGAGGUAGAGCACUGAAUGUCCUAGGGGGUAUUGCACCUACCGAAGACUAUCAAACUCCGAAUGCCGUCAUCUUAUACUUGGGAGUCAGACUGUGGGUGAUAAGAUUCAUAGUCGAAAGGGCAACAGCCCAGAUCGUCAGCUAAGGUCCCUAAAUGUAAGUUAAGUGGUAAAGGAUGUGGGAUUGCACAGACAACCAGGAUGUUGGCUUAGAAGCAGCCACUCAUUCAAAGAGUGCGUAAUAGCUCACUGGUCGAGUGAUCCUGCGCCGAAGAUUUCCGGGGCUAAAACUUACUACCGAAGCUACGGCAUCAGUAAUGAUGGGUAGGGGAGCUUCCCAUACGGGUUGAAGCAUGACCGUAAGGACAUGUGGACAGUAUGGGAGUGAGAAUGUUGGCAUGAGUAGCGAGAUGUGGGUGAGAAUCCCACAGGCCGUAAACCCAAGGUUUCCAGGGGGAAGGUUCGUCCGCCCUGGGUUAGUCGGGACCUAAGCUGAGGCCGAAAGGCGUAGGUGAUGGACAACAGGUUGAUAUUCCUGUACUACCGAUAACCGUUUGAGGAGAAGGGAUGACACAGUAGGAUAAGCUAAGCACACUGUUGGUUAUGUGUGCCCAAGCAUUGAGGCAGUCAAAGUAGGCAAAUCCGCUUUGAUAAUGCUGGGGUGUGAUGGGGAGCGAAAUUUAGUAGCGAAGUAGCUGAUUUCACACUGUCAAGAAAAGUCUCUAUCGAGGUUAAAGGUACCCGUACCGCAAACCGACACAGGUGGGUGAGGAGAGUAUCCUAAGGCCAGCGAGAGAACUGUUGUUAAGGAACUCGGCAAAAUGACCCCGUAACUUAGGGAUAAGGGGUGCCACCAUCAGGUGGCCGCAGAGAAUAGGCCCAAGCGACUGUUUACCAAAAACAUAGGUUUCUGCUAAGUCGCAAGACGAUGUAUAGGAGCUGACGCCUGCCCGGUGCUGGAAGGUUAAGGGGAUCUGUUAGAGCAAUCGAAGCAGUGAACUUAAGCCCCAGUAAACGGCGGCCGUAACUAUAACGGUCCUAAGGUAGCGAAAUUCCUUGUCGGGUAAGUUCCGACCCGCACGAAAGGCGUAACGAUUUGGGCACUGUCUCAACAACAGACUCGGUGAAAUUGUAAUUCCGGUGAAGAUGCCGGAUACCUGCGACAGGACGGAAAGACCCCAUGGAGCUUUACUGUAGCUUGACAUUGGGUCUUGGUACUACAUGUACAGGAUAGGUGGGAGGCUUUGAAACCAGGACGCCAGUUUUGGCGGAGCCAUCCUUGGGAUACCACCCUUGUAGUACUGGGACUCUAACCAUAGGCCAUGAAUCUGGUCUUGGGACACUGUCAGGUGGGCAGUUUGACUGGGGCGGUCGCCUCCCAAAAAGGUAACGGAGGCGCUCAAAGGUUCUCUCAGUACGGUCGGAAAUCGUACGUAGAGUGUAAAGGCAAAAGAGAGCUUGAUUGCAAGACAUACAGGUCGAGCAAGGAUGAAAAUCGGACUUAGUGAUCCGGUGGUUCUGCGUGGAAGGGCCAUCGCUCAACGGAUAAAAGCUACCCUGGGGAUAACAGGCUUAUCUCCCCCAAGAGUCCACAUCGACGGGGAGGUUUGGCACCUCGAUGUCGGCUCAUCACAUCCUGGGGCUGUAGUAGGUCCCAAGGGUUGGGCUGUUCGCCCAUUAAAGUGGUACGCGAGCUGGGUUCAGAACGUCGUGAGACAGUUCGGUCCCUAUCCGUCGCAGGCGUAGGAAAUUUGAGAAGACCUGUCCUUAGUACGAGAGGACCGGGAUGGACGUACCUCUGGUGUACCAGUUGUCCUGCCAAGGGCAUGGCUGGGUAGCUAUGUACGGAAUGGAUAAGCGCUGAAAGCAUCUAAGCGCGAAGCCAACUUCAAGAUAAGAUUUCCCACCGCAAGGGUAAGACCCCAGAAAGACUAUCUGGUUGAUAGGUCGAAGGUGUAAGUGCAGCAAUGUAUUUAGCUUAUCGAUACUAAUAGGUCGAGGACUUGACCAAU
rnacentral:rRNA from 1 species